rnacentral:sRNA from 1 species
GCUGGGUGUGGUGGUGCAUGCCUGUAAUCCCAGGGGCUCAGGAGGCUGAGGCAGAAGGAUCCCGAGUUCAAAGUCAGCCUCAGCAACACUGAGACCUAAGCAACUCAGUGAGACCCUGUCUCUA